rnacentral:rRNA from 1 species
GUGGGGAAUUUUGGACAAUGGGCGCAAGCCUGAUCCAGCAAUGCCGCGUGCAGGAAGAAGGCCUUCGGGUUGUAAACUGCUUUUGUACGGAACGAAACGGUCCGGGUUAAUACCCUGGGCUAAUGACGGUACCGUAAGAAUAAGCACCGGCUAACUACGUGCCAGCAGCCGCGGUAAUACGUAGGGUGCAAGCGUUAAUCGGAAUUACUGGGCGUAAAGCGUGCGCAGGCGGUUUUGUAAGACAGGCGUGAAAUCCCCGGGCUCAACCUGGGAAUUGCGCUUGUGACUGCAAGGCUGGAGUGCGGCAGAGGGGGAUGGAAUUCCGCGUGUAGCAGUGAAAUGCGUAGAUAUGCGGAGGAACACCGAUGGCGAAGGCAAUCCCCUGGGCCUGCACUGACGCUCAUGCACGAAAGCGUGGGGAGCAAAUGGGAUUAGAAACCCGAGUAGUCC